rnacentral:rRNA from 1 species
UACGUAGGGUCCAAGCGUUAUCCGGAAUCACUGGGCGUAAAGCGUGCGUAGGUGGCAUGUUAAGUGAGAUGUUAAAUCGUGUGGCUCAACCAUAUCGCUGCAUCUCAUACUGGCAUACUAGAGGACGGCAGAGGCAAGUGGAAUUUGUAGUGUAGCAGUGAAAUGCGUAGAGAUUACAAGGAACACCAAUGGCGAAGGCAGCUUGCUGGGCCACUCCUGACACUGAGGUGCGAAAGCGUGGGGAGCGAACAGG